rnacentral:rRNA from 1 species
CCUACGGGCGGCAGCAGUGGGGGAUAUUGCACAAUGGGGGGAACCCUGAUGCAGCGACGCCGCGUGGGUGAAGAAGCGCCUCGGCGCGUAAAGCCCUGUCAGCAGGGAAGAAAAUGACGGUACCUGAAGAAGAAGCCCCGGCUAAGUACGUGCCAGCAGCCGCGGGAAUACGGAGGGGGCAAGCGUUAUCCGGAUUUACUGGGUGUAAAGGGGGCGUAGACGGCGGUGCAAGCCAGGAGUGAAAGCCCGGGGCCCAACCCCGGGACUGCUCUUGGAACUGCGUGGCUGGAGUGCAGGAGGGGCAGGCGGAAUUCCUGGUGUAGCGGUGAAAUGCGUAGAGAUCAGGAAGAACACCGAUGGCGAAGGCGGCCUGCUGGGCUGCAACUGACGUUGAGGCCCGAAAGCGUGGGGAGCAAACAGGAUUAGAUACCCCUAUAGUC